UGAGGAAUAUUGGACAAUGGAUGGAAAUCUGAUCCAGCCAUGCCGCGUGCAGGAAGACGGUCCUAUGGAUUGUAAACUGCUUUAGCAUGGGAGCAAUAAGGUGUACGCGUACACCGAUGAGAGUACCAUGAGAAUAAGCACCGGCUAACUCCGUGCCAGCAGCCGCGGUAAUACGGAGGGUGCAAGCGUUAUCCGGAUUUAUGGGUUUAAAGGGUGCGUAGGCUGUAAGUCAAGUCAGCGGUGAAAUGCGUAGAUAUUGGGAGGAACACCAGUGGCGAAGGCGGCUUACUGGACGAUGACUGACGUUGAGGCUCGAAAGCGUGGGGAGCAAAC
rnacentral:rRNA from 1 species